UAGAAUUAAUCUCAGCAGGUCCAUCUUCAAUCCAGCAGCAUUCUCCUUCUGUCUGCAAAACUUUCUCUGCAAGUUCAUGAGCUACACUGUUUCCUUCUCUGAAAAUAAAGCCAAACUCCCAAUCUGAUCUUUUAGUUAAAACACCUCUGAUGUCUUCUACAAUCUGCCCCAUCCUAGCACAUAUAGUAGCCUUUUUAUUGAGACUUCCGGUGAAAUUCCUCUUUAUUCUCCACCUGCGUCGGUUUUGUCUUUGCCCUCGAUUUUGCUCAAUUGGUAUACUUCCGGUGCGAAACAUUGCCUCUCGAUUAAUAGUUUUCAAUGGUAGCGGUGAGUUCUAGUCUGAGCUGAGGUCGUGAGAAUCGUUGAAAUUAGACGAGCUCGGGCACGAAGUCAUUUGUCUGCUCGAAUUAAAGAUUUACGGUCCUCAGCUAUCCGGCAGUGAGAAGCAGCUCAAAGAUUUCUCACGGCAAGGCAGACCCACUGCGAUCGUUGGUCUCCAAGGCCUCUGCAGGUUAUAUAAUGGAAGCAUGCGACAAGGUGUGAUUAACUUCCCCUUUACAUCAUAAGCAUUGUACAAAUCUGUUUGACUUUAAAUUCUUGCACAAAAAGUAGUGGGAGGAAAAGGACAUAGGGGGCUUCUUUCUAUCCUCUUGCAAGUAAACUAAGGGAUCAUCUCGCUCUGCCUAUAUCUAUUCGUCUUGGCUCCUCCUCCUCCCUCUCCACCAUCUUUCUCGCUCUUCCUCCUCCUCCACCUCCUCCCAUCCCUAAGUUCCCUCCUCCUCUCACUGCCUCUAUCAUCUUAUUAUCAUUGUUAUCAUCAUCACAAUCUCAUCACCACUCAUAUUACAUUCUCAUCUUCAUAACCAUCAUGAUCCAUCUAAUUACAUAAUUAUCCAUACUCAUCAUCAUCAUUGCAUCAUCUUUUCACAUAAUCAUGAUCUCAUCAGUCGUCAUCUUCAUAACCAUAUCAAUAUUCAUCUCAUUAUAUCAUUAUCCAUAUCAAUCAUCAUCAUCUCAUCAUAUUUUCAUAUCAUUUAUCAUCCCAUUAUCUUUUCAUAUCAUCAUGAUCU